rnacentral:rRNA from 1 species
AACGAACGCUGGCGGCAGGCUUAACACAUGCUAGUCGAGCGCCCCGCAAGGGGAGCGGCAGACGGGUGAGUAACGCGAGGGAAUCUACCCAUCUCUACGGAAUAACGCAUGGAAACGUGUGCUAAUACCGUAUACGUCCUUCGGGAGAAAGAUUUAUCGGAGAUGGAUGAGCCCGCGUUGGAUUAGCUAGUUGGUGGGGUAAAGGCCUACCAAGGCGACGAUCCAUAGCUGGUCUGAGAGGAUGAUCAGCCACACUGGGACUGAGACACGGCCCAGACUCCUACGGGAGGCAGCAGUGGGGAAUAUUGGACAAUGGGCGCAAGCCUGAUCCAGCCAUGCCGCGUGAGUGAUGAAGGCCCUAGGGUUGUAAAGCUCUUUCACCGGUGAAGAUAAUGACGGUAACCGGAGAAGAAGCCCCGGCUAACUUCGUGCCAGCCGCCGCGGUAAUAC